AAGGAGGGCUGAGGAAGGGUUCCCGGAGUUCCCUUGAACCUCCGGUCAGAGGUUUGCACGCACCCACGUGCCACCGUCAACGGCGCUAUAUACGGCGGUCGGAAGCUGGAAAGCUUCCUGUUUCACCGUAAAUCAAAACGACACGUCCCUUUUGUUCUAUUUUUAUGCUUUUAAUAUGUAUUUAGAGAGAAAAAAAGAAAUAUAGUAAUCACCUAUGUAUUCUCCGAUCGACUGUUGAUUUCUUUUAGUGUAAAAUGCGUUCUUGUUUUUUAUUGAAUCUCAGUAAAAAAAAAACCUCUCCUUACAUCGUUUUAAUUCAGGCUUUUUAUAGCUACUGUACAUAGUAUUUUACAUAUUUAAUGUUAUUUCUUGCCAUAUUUGUGUUGCCUCUGUCGUUCUUCUUUCCCCUUUUGCAGGUACCAACGAGGAGAUUUAGUAGUGAACGAACGUUGACAACGGUACACCGGCGUUGAUUCGGGCGUCGACCACGGCAUGAUUCGAAGCCUAGAAUCAUGGCCUGGAACCACGAUACUGAUAGUGGGUAACUGGAACGACGCGAGAUGAACAGACGCGUUGAUUGAAAUGUUUGCGGUGCCUAGGGUUUCUGAAACCCUAGGCCUCUCUGUCUUCCGUUAGUAAAUUGGGCCACUUGGGCCCUGUGUAUUUUGGUAUCAUACAGGCUUGGGUGUAAUUGGGCCAUGGUUAGUUUUAGGUAUCUGGGCUAAGGGUUUUAGGCCUUUUGGGUGCAAAUGUAAAUGGGUAAUAGGCUGUAAAUGUAAAUGAGUUUUGGGCUUUGUACAUGGACUGUAUAAACUUUAUUAUUUUUUAAUUUAUGUUUUUGUUUUUAUUUAUUCAUUUAUGGGCCGGGCAAAUUUGGUUAUUACAGCUGCCCCUCUUUGCUCAUUAUUGUGUAACGAUAAUAGAGCAAAGACUAUAAAAGGACCCAUUUUGCCCGGUUUGCCCCAGUCUUGAGACCUUUCUUCUAAUGGCCUUCAACCUAUCUGCAACUUCAGAGGUAUUGGACUAUAAAUAUGAUAGCUUCAAUUUGCUUUACUGUAACUUCAGGAAAGCAAUAUCUAUUAUCUUCAGCCUGCUCCCUGCAACUUCAGGGACGCUAUGUUGAUAUCUUCGAUCUGCUCUCUGAUAAUACAGAGACACCAAAUCUGCUAUCUUUGAUCUGAUCUCUGACAAUACAGAGACGCCAAAUCUACUAUCUUUGAUCUGCUCUCUGACAAUACAGAGACGCCAAAUUUGCUAUCUUCGAUCUGCUCCUUGUAAAUGCAAGGAUGCCAAAUCAUCUUGGAUCUACCUCGAUGCAAAAACAUCCGAAGGUUAGAUCUGCUAUGUCUUCAUUCUGCUCUCUGUCGAAUAUGGAGAUGCCAAAUCUGUUUCUUCGAUUUGUUCUCUGACAAUUUAGAGAUGCCAAAUCAUUUUAGAUUUGCUUCAGUGUAAACACGUGAAAGCCAAAUCUUCUAUGUCUUCGAUCUGCUCCUUGUAAACGCAAGGAUGCCAAAUCAUCUUGGAUAUACUUCAAUGUGAAAACAUCCGAAGGUUAGAUCUGCUAUGUCUUUAAUCUGCUCACCGUCGAAUAUGGAGAUGCCAAAUCUGUUUCUUCGAUUUGUUCUCUGACAAUACAGAGAUGCCAAAUCAUCUUGGAUCUGCUUCAACGUAAACACCUGAAGGUCAGAUCUGCUAUGCUUUAGCCUGUUACCCUACUGCUUAGGGGGUUAAGGCGCAUCAAUCUUCAUUGUCCCUUGAAGGACAUAACCUAUAUAAUGUGUAUGAGUUCGUGCCUAAUGAUUAGGAUGCUAUGAUCGAAGUGAGUCAAAUGCUCCUAAUUAAACCUAUUAUAAUGCAAAAUGUUUAUGAAUAUGACCCCUAUUCCAGACAUCACUAGUCAUUCCUUCGUCGAAGUUUAUCCCUAUCUCUCGAAGUAUCAUUCCUAUUCAGGCUAUGGGUUUGUACCAUUCUUCAAAUUCUAUGACCCACCAAAAAUGUUUGUAAGAUGAUCCUCUCUUAAGAUCGAAUCGUUUGAUUUGUCCAAUCAUCAUUUUGGACUAAAGAAAGAAUUUCCUCGAGUUCUUUCAAACCUUACUUAUGUGAAUUCCUCGAACAAUUAUUCUGUUUUAGUUUCUUGUAUUAUCUAGAAAUUUCCAGAAUAAUAAGCAAAACUUCAUUUGUGAAAAUUAUUUAGUUCAUCUAUCAUUAUUUUAAUGUAACAUACUUUAAGAGUAAUGAAAGAUGAAUUUAAUCCUGAGAAUAAUUAGAUUUGAAUGAAUUCGUCAAAAAUACAAAGGAAAUUAAUCUGAUAGCCUAUCUUUGAGAAGAAAGAAAAUCUAAAGAUAGCAAACAGGACAAAAGUUUGAUGCCCUAGAUAUCGCCGCUUGAGCGUCUAUACACUAGCUCCAUGAAGACUUUCUUGAGUUCAACAUGUGUUUAAAAGAUCCAAAGUACUUUGUUGAUGCCCUGAUAUGCAACGUGCUUCACUCUUUGUUGAAUCAGAUAUAGCGAGAUUACCCUGUACUCUUCAAAAUUUGAGCUGCCCUUUCGGGUUUUUAACUCAAAACCCCUUCGGUCACAAGGCGCCCUUUGCGGGUUUUCACCCUGGCCUCUCUAUUUUUUUUUGAGAAACUCAAAGUGCCCUUUGCGGGUUUUCACCCUGGAUUCUCCUCCCCUUUAGACAAAGUAUUUUUUGACUGAGUCUGAAUUCACUGGAUUGGGUAAACUCUUCCCAUCCAGUUCCGUUAAGAUCAAUGCACCCCUAGAGAAAGCCUUUUUCACGAUAUACGGCCCUUCCCAAUUCGGCAUCCAUUUUCCUCUAAAGUCUUUCUGAAUGGGAAGGAUCUUUUUCAGCAUAAGAUCCCCCUCGUGGAAUUCUCUUGGUCACACUUUCUUGUCGUAAGCUCGCAUCAUUCGCUUUUGAUACAUUUGACCAUGACGAAUGGCCCUUAACCUCUUUUCCUCAAUCAAGUUCAACUGAUCAUAUCGUGACUGUAUCCACUUAGCUUCAUCCAACUUUAUCUCUGACAAGACUCGGAGAGACGGUAUUUCCACUUCAAUGGGUAACACUGCUUCCAUCCCAUAAACCAACGAGAAAGGAGUUGCCACAGUAAUGGUUCUGACGGACGUUCGAUAAGCUAAGAGUACGAAUGGUAACUUCUCAUGCCAUUCUCUGUAGGUUUUAGUCAUUUUCCCCACAAUCUUCUUGAUGUUUUUGUUAGCAGCUUCCACUGCCCCAUUCAUCUUUGGGCGAUACGGAGAAGAGUUAUGAUGCUUAAUCUUGAACUACCUGCAAACUUCUACUAUUGUUUUGUUGUUCAAGUUUAAUGCAUUGUCUAAUAUGAUCCUUUCAGGCAUCCCAUACCGACAAAUGAUCUCUUUCUUCAAGAAUCAACUCACAGCUGACUUAGUAACAUUUGCAUAAGAAGCAGCCUCUACCCACUUCGUGAAGUAAUCAAUGACCAUAAAGAUAAAGCGACGUCCAUUUGAAGCUUUUGGUGAUAUUGGCCCAAUGACAUCCAUGCCCCACAUGGAAAAAGGCCAUGGAGAAGUCAUAACAUGUAGAGGUGAAGGUGGUACAUGAAUCUUGUCUCCAUAAAUCUGACAUUUAUGGCAUUUCUUGGCGUAGUUGAUACAAUCCCCUUCUAUAGUAGACCAAUAAUAUCAAAACUUCAUGAUUUGUCUAGCCAUCGUGAAACCAUUAGCGUGCGUCCCACAAACACCCUCGUGAACUUCUUCCAAGAUUAACUUAGCUUCCACGGCGUCAACACAUCUCAACAGUACUUGGUCCUUUCUUCUUUUGUAGAAGAUGUCCCCAUCUAAAACGUAGUCGCAGGCUAAUCUCCUUAAAGUUCGGUUAUCAUUUUCAGUUGCCUGUUCUGGGUAUUUACGAUCUCUCACAUAUCUCAAUAUAUCCUGAUACCAAAGGUUAUCAUCCUUUUCUUCUUCCUCAAUGUUACAACAUCGAGCUGGAGUCUCAAAGAUACUCAUCUGAAUGGGUCUCAUCUCCUCUUUAUUUGCUUUAAUCAUUUAAGCCAAGGUUGCUAGAGCAUCUGCCAUCUGGUUUUCGUCCCAUGGGAUAUAAUUGAAAGUGAUGUCAUCGAAUUCCUCAAGUAACCCCAAAACUACCUUUCGAUAAUUGAUCAAUUUAGGAUCUCUUGUCUCCUAUUCACCUCUAAGCUGGUAAAUUACCAACGCAGAGUCUCUAUAUACUUCCAAGGUUCUUAUUCCUCGCUCUAUAGCCGCUCGAAUCCCCAUGAUGCAUGCUUCAUACUCAGCCAUAUUGUUCGUACAGUCAAAAUCCAAUUUACAUGUGAAUGGAUAAUGAUCCCCGCUUGGGGAUACGAAGACUGUCCCAAUUCCAUUCCUACCACAUUGGAUGCGCCGUCAAAGUUCAUCUUCCAUGGACGUUCUUCAAUAGUUGCCACAUACAUAAACUCCUCAUUAGGGAAAUCAAAGUUUAAUGGCUCAUAAUCUUCUAAAGCUCUGCUUGCCAGAAAUUCUGCUAUCACACUCCCUUUUAUAGCCUUUUGACUCACAUAGACUAUGUCAAAUUCUGAAAGCAAUAUUUGCCACCUUGCCAUUCUUUCAUGUAGUGCUGUUGACUCCAUCAUGUACUUUAAUGGAUCAAGUUUUGAAAUUAGCCAUCGUAUGAUAUAACAUAUAUUGUCUUAACCUCCGAGUCAUCCAAAUCAAGGCACAACACAACUUCUCAAUUGGUGAAUACCUCAUCUCACACUCUGUGAAUUUCUUACUGAGGUAGUAUAUUGCCUUCUCUUUUCUUCCUGAUUCGUCAUGUUGACGAAGCACACAUCCCAUAGAAUUUCUAAACACUGAUAAGUACAGAAUUAAUGGUUUAUCCGGACUAGGUGGAUAUAGUACUGGAGUGUUUAGCAAGUAUUGCUUGACUUUAUCAAAGGCAUUCUGGCAUUCCUCAUUCCAAGUACCUUGGUUGUGUUUUCUAAGAAGGCAAAAUAUAGGAUCACAAUUCUUAGUUAAUUGUGAAAUAAACUGAGCAAUAUAAUUCAACCUUCCAACAAAACCUCGAAGUUCCUUCUGAGUACAUGGUGGAGGCAAAUCUCGUAUGGCUCUAACUUUGUCUGAGUCAACUUCUAUUCCCUUUUCGCUGACCACAAAGCCUAGUAAUUUCCCCGACCUAGCUCCAAAAGUGCACUUUGCUGGAUUAAGUUUUAACUGAAACUUCUGUAAUCUUAAGAACAACUUCCUUAAAACUUCAAUAUGUUCCUUCUCCGUUCGAGAUUUGGCAAUCAUAUCAUCAACAUACACCUCAAUUUCUUUGUGCAUCAUAUCAUGGAAUAAGUUCACCAUAGCCCGUUGGUAUAUUGCCCCUGCAUUCUUUAAUCCAAACGGCAUUACUUUGUAACAAAAUGUGGCCCACAAUGUUAUGAAAGUAGUUUUAUCCAUCUCUUCCAGAUGCAUCUUAAUUUGGUUGUACCCCGAGAAACCAUCCAUGAAGGAGAACAACGAAUAUCCUGCUGUGCUGUCUACCAAAGUGUCUAUGUGUGGCAGAGGGAAAUUAUCUUUUGGGCUAGCUUUGUUUAGAUCUCUAUAAUCAACGCACAUUCGUACCUUCCCAUCCUUCUUAGGGACUAGUACAAUGUUAGCUACCCAUUCAGAGUACUUCACCUCUUGUAAGAAUCCUGCAUCGAACUGCUUCUUGACUUCAUCCUCUAUCUUCAAUAUGAUAUCUGGUCUCAUUCUUCACAACUUCUAUUGGACUAGUUUACAAUCCUGUCUUAUUGGAAGACGAUGUACCACGAUAUCGGUAUUUAACCCUGGCAUAUCUUGAUAGGACCAUGCGAAGAUAUUCUUGAACUCACGUAGCAACUCAAUCAGUCCUUGCCUUGUGUCCUCGGCAAUAUACGUGCUGAUUUUUACCUCUUUCCCUUUGUCUAGGGUUAUAUUCUCUAUUGCCUUUUUGUCAUGGGGCAUAAUUUGUUUCUCCUCUUGUUUUACCAUUCUCAACAGAUCCGGAGACACUUCACAAUCCUAGACAUCUUAAAAAUCCUGAGAUUCCUCUAAAAACACGUCUUGCUCACGAGAGAAAUCAGGAUUUGUAAUAUUAAUACUCAUGUCAUUGAUAUCCAGGGACCUGUGAAGUAUAAAGGAUAUACAAAGAAUGAAUGAAUUUAAGAAUGAUUAUUUAUGUGCUAUGAAUGAAAGAAUAAGAAUUGCAAAAGUUUAACGGAAUAUUGGUUGAUAAAAAUGACACAAUACUCGUUCAAAUUGAUAAAAAGUUAUGUUUUAUUUAAAAAAUAAUAGAUGAUCGUAAGCCCAUUCCACAAAUGUAAUCCUAUUACUCCUAGGCCCUAGAGUAACAAGAAUGUUUUGAAAAUUACUCUGAAAAAUUCCUAAAGACUACAGGAAGUUCCUCCGCAGUCCAAUUGUUCAAAGAGCUUCCCAGUUCGUAAGGGCGAAUGCCCCCAAGGUUUCCUUGCUCCGAUCCUUCAUCGUGUAUAGCAUUAAUCUGAUGACUUUCUUCUAUAAGUAACCCUCCCGAUAUGAAGGUUUGGGAUAGUGGAGGGAAUGUCAUCGACUCCCACUCCACUUCUCUUCCAUUAAGGCGCGACUUUCUUCCCUCUUGGCGCUUCUCAACUUCGUUCCUCCUUUGCUUAUAGUCUGGCUUGAAGCCCAAACCAAAGUGAUCUCUCCUCUCUUUCAGUUCUGGGAUUUGAGUCCCUCCUUGCAGGUAUUUUCUUAACCCUCUUCUUGGUAAGGCUCUCUUUCCCACCAUCAUUUGUAGAGCCAUCAUCGUGGCUCUCGCUAUCUUUGGCACCGGUGGCUCACUCCCUUCUGUAAUGAAGGUUGCAUUCACAAAUUCUAAAGAGCGAAAGGAACACUCAAUAUGUAACACCCCGAACCCGAAACCGACAACCGGAGUCGAACACGAGGUGUUAACUGACUUUAACCCCUUAUAAAAUUUAUUUUCCAGACACUGCCCAAUCUGUGUACUAGUCGUUUUAAAAUUCAUAUCUUGAGUUUCGUAACUCGAAAAUCAGUUUCGUGAUUUUUCCCAGAAACUAGACUCAUGUGCCCAUCUAUGUAUUUUUUUCUAGAAUUUUUGGUCGGGCCAAUUAGUACAGUUUAUUAGUCAAAGUCUCCCAUGUUGCAGGGGUCGACUACACUGACCUUUUCCCAUUACGACUUGGAUAUCUCCCUACCCAGGGCUUCAAUGCUGAUGCCGUUUGUUUCUAUGAAAACUAGACUCAGAGAGGAAUCUGUACAUAUAUGGUACAAUCCCUAAUUAUCUCGGGUUAAUUUAUAAUGAAUUUCCAAAGUCGGAACAGGGAAUCCAGAAACCGUUCUGGCCCUGUCCCACAAAAAUCUGAUUAUCUCUUAAUAUACUGCCCAUAUGAUCUUUUCGUUACUUCCUCAUGAAAACAGACUCAUCGAGCUUCGAUUACAUAAUUUAUUCAUCAAUUAAUUCCACUCCUACUAUUUUUAGUGAUUUUUCAAUCUCAUGACACUGCUGCUGCCAGCAUCUGUUACGAAAGUAAGUAGGUCCAUUUCAUGCCUACCCUUGAUCCAACUCAAUCGAACAUUCGUGCCAUUUUCGCAUGGCUUAAAGUUUACAUGCCAAAGUUCAAACACAACGUAAUAGCUUAUACAUGCCAAAAUGUUCUUCUAAGCCAACUAAGAAGAAAGUACCAAAACUUGCUAUCCGGUGUGAUGACUUCGAUGACGGCCUGACCCCGCAAAAAUAGAUGAGUCCAAGCAACCUAUAAUGGGUGACAAGGAAACACCGAGUGAGUUUAUAACUCAGUAAGUCAUAAGCAAUGCACUACCAUCCAUCAAUAACAUUAUCACAAGAGAAAACAAAAUGGAACAAGACAAUUUACUCCAUCCAUACCGAACCAUACCAUAGUUCCUCCAACCUAUCGAUUCAAUUUCAUAUCAAUUCAUGCAUUCACAUUCCAUAUACUCAUCAAUAGGACAUUGAAGCAUUUUCAUAAAUCAAUUUAUUUUCGUUACAAUCAAACGACUAAACGGCCUUUCACCCAUCCUACGAUAAAUUUUAUGUACGUGACUUCAAGUAUAUUUGUCACAUAGGUUCAAACUUACCGAGCUCAACACCAAGUAUAAGCAUAGCACCUAUUAGCCAUGUACUCAAGACACUUACCCGAUCCGCUGUCCGCGAUCGACUCGAUAGUGUCGCACACAUAGUGUCCAUAAUGAUUCACGAAUGUAUAUUGAGUCCGCACACUCAGUGCUAUAUAAUCAACUCGCACACUUAGUGCUACGUAAUCAAAUCGCACACUUAGUGCUACAUAGUCAAACUCGCACACUUAGUGCCGCAUGGUCAAUUCGCACACUUAGUGCAUCAUAUUCAUUUCGCACACUUAGUGCAACAUAGUCAAAUCGCACACUUAGUGCUGUACAAUUUACUCCCGCGCACUUAGCGCCAAUCUCAUGGUCAUAAAUGGUUAUACCCGCACGUUUAGUGCCGAGAUCAACAACUUAGUACAUCUUACCUCUUUUCUUUUCAUUCAACAAUUUCAUCAUCACAUACGUACAUGCAUAUAUAUAUAUGUAUAUUUAUUCAUUCCAUUCAGCAUCAAUACAUACACAUUAUGACCAUUUAAAACAAUACCAACUACAUGCUUAAUGACUUACCUCGUGUUGGGUAAGACGGUUCCAACUCGGCUACUCGAUAACCUUUUCUUUGCCUUUGCUCGAUUCACCUCCUUUAACUCCUUGAGCUAAAUCAAUAAUUUAACUAGUUUAACCAUCUUGCUAAACAUUCAUACUUCAAUUACACAUGCAUAUGUAUGUUUGUAUAUUCGGCAAUGACAAUGGUAAUUUAGCAACCCUUAAUUUAACUUAUAAUUGUUCAUAACACAUUUAUAGCAUCCACUCCAUUCCAUCAUUUUAAAGCACAUACAUUACUCAAUAUUAUCCAAAUUCACAUUCGGCAUUUUCACAAACACACAUGCCGAUUUCAUUCACUCAUCUCUAAUGUUAAUUAAGAAAUGUCGAAUGUCACCAACUAAAUGGCAUACACACACACCCACAUGUAUAAAAGUCAUCCACACCACCUAUAGCUCAUUCGGCCUUCACCCUUGCUAGUUUUUUCCCAUUCUUUUGUCGGUUAUAUAUACAUAGUCCUAAGGUAGUAUCACGAAUGGGCUUACAUAUAUAUGUGUAUAUAUAUAUAUAUAUAUAUAGCCGAAUAUGCAAAGCUUAACUCAACAUCACAUAAGCUCCUAAGUGAUGGCCGAAUAUGUAUAUCUAUAUAUAUUCAUCAACUAUACUAUUACCUUUAAUUUAUUUAAUCACACAAUUUCAUCUCAUGAAUACUUGACCCAUUUCUCACAAAAAUGAAACAACAACUAAAAUGAACAUCCCAUUUUUACCCCAUAUGGCCGAUUACUUCAUUAGUUACCAAGCUAACACUUCAACAAAUUUCAACCUCAUUACAACCUCUACCUAUCCAAUAUAACAUGAACACAAUCCUCCACCCCUAAAUUAGAUUCGGCAAUCACUUAACCCAUUUUAACCUCAACCUUCAAGUUAAAAGCAAUUAACCACUCACCAUAUCCUACAUUACUAUCCAUUUUAAUGACAUUACACAUCUACUAAGAGUUUCAAGCUUCUUGGCCGAAUUUCAACCUCAAAAUCCUAAGUCUAAUCUAUAGGAUGAGUAGAAUUUAAACUAACCAUCUCAAACAUGCAUAGAUUUUCAAGAAUCAUUCAAUACAUACCUCAUUCUAGUUACAUGCAUGGCCAAACCUCUUAGAAACUUUUCCCCUAGGCACCGAAUAUUCAAGAGCUUCUUAAUCAACUUGAAGAUGACCAAAUGCCUUAACUUCACUUUCUUCUUUUUUCUUUCUUUAGGUACGGCUAUUGUGGUAAGGAAAAGGAUGAACACUCCUUCUUCCUCCCUUAUUUUAUUCAUCCUUUUUUUCUUUUUAAUUCACUUCUUUUAUUUUCUAAUCUACUUACCAAUAUUAAAUAAUAAACAACAUAAACUUGGAGGAAUGGAACCAUGCUUGGCCGGCCACUCAUCAAGAAUUGGGCACCUUGACAUGCAAACCCAAACUUUCUCACCUUGUUAUUAUUUAAUCCUUUCAAUUUAUCUAUCAUCUUUUCUAAAUUUCUCAACUAAGUCCUUUCAUGAAAAUCCACAUUCCUAAGGCUAAUUUUAAACCUUUAUUAUUUCCACACAUACACUCCCACAUUUAAUAUAUGCAAUUAAAAUUAAAAUAAAUUUUCUUGUAACUCGGUUUUGUGGUCCCGAAACCACUUCCCGACUAGGGUCAAUUUUGGGCUGUUACACAAUAAACUCCUCGUUCAUCUCAACAUAAGGGGCCUUGAUAGUGACUAUGGCUAUAAUGUCCUCCUCCGCAUUGAUGGUUACUAAUCAUCCAUCCGUCACUAACUUUAAUUUCUGGUAUAACGAUGAGGGCACCGCUCCCGCUGAGUGUAUCCAUGGCCUCCUUAAUAAGCAAUUGUAGGAGGGCUUGAUAUCCAUCACCAAGAAGUCUACUUCGUAUAUACUCGGCCCAAUUUCCAAGGGGAUGUCAAUCCUUCCUAUCACCUUUCUUUCUAUACCGUCGAAGGCUCUUACCACAUUUUGACAUGUCUUCAUGUGAGAACUGUCAAUGGGUAAUCUGUUCAAUGUAAACAAUGGUAGAACAGUUAAGGCCGAUCCAUUAUUGACGAGCACGCUUGGGAGUGUGUACCCCUUGCAUCAAGUGGUGAUGUGCAAGGCCUUAGUUGACCCCCUACCCCCCGGUGGGAUUUCAUCAUCAUUAAAGUAGAUGAAAUUAUCCGCACUUAUGUUAUUCACCAACUGGUCCAGCUUGUUAACAGAUAUGUCGUUGGUGACAUAUGUUUCGUUGAGCACCCUUAUCAAUGCAUUCCGAUGCACCUCAGAAGUCAGAAGUAGAGCCAAUACUGAUAUGCGAGCCGGCUGCCUACGUAACUACUCGACCACACUAUACUCGCUAUGCUUAAGGAACUUUUAGAAAUUCCUUAGCCUCCUCCUCCUUUACUGGCUCCUUGACAGGCACUUCAGCCUCUUUCUCCUUCUCCGCACUAACAUUCUUUGUUUUUGUGGGCUCAUCUCUAACCCCUACCGUAUCAUACCGCUUCCCACUCCGUGUAUGGGAACCCUCAACUUGUACAUCCUUAGUCGUACUGGCUAUACUCUCCUCCUCCGGUAAUGUCACACUGUAGUCGUAACUCUAUGGUACCCUCCUGCUAUCUUUAUAAGGGAAAGGCAUAGGCUUAUGGAUAAUGACUUUAGGCACCGUUUGUGCCCCCACUUCAUUAUUCCCCAGCAGGGAAAUAAUAAUCCUUGGCCGGCUAUUUCCUUUCUGUUCAUUUUUCAGCACACAUACUUUUUUUUCACAAGAGCUACCUUCAAAAUUUUAUAGCUCUUUAUUGUCUAUAAAGCCUUGCACCAAGGCCUUGAAUUCUUCACAAUAUUAAACUUCAUGUCCUUCUUUCUCAUGGAACUCACCAUAGUUCCUUGUUUCUCUUCUUUCAUUCUUAGAGGUUAACAUACCUCUCUUCAUCAUCUCCUCCCAAAUCACCUUCAUAGGAAUCCUCACCUCAACAACAUAUUCUUUCAUUCUUCUCUCACUGGCUUCGCUAAUUGCAUUCACUCCUUGAUUGCUAUGAUUUGGCAACGGGUUUUCAAUAUUAGGGGUAUUGUCAAACUUUACUACCCCCAUCUUAAUAAGCCUCUCUACAGCCUUCUUAAAACCGGUACAGUUUUCGAUUGAAUGCCUCGGUAUUCCAGCAUUGUAAUAUCUCGAAUUAGGGCCUAAUCGGAAUAGUGGUUUCGUGACCAAAAAUACGAGAUAGAAAUAAUUAUUUUAUAAUUAUUUUGAUGUUUAUGAUAUGAUUGCAUGAUUGUGUGAAAAUUUCGUGAUGAAAUCCUAUGCCUAAAGUGCUUAAAUUGAAAUUAGGGACUAAAUCGAAUAAUUUGCAAAACUUGCAUUCUAGGAGUUUUUAGUAUGAAAUUAUUUUUGAAUAUUAAUGAGGAGGUCUUAAAUAGAAAUUUGACCAAUUUCUAAGUCUAUGGACAAAAAUUGGACAUGAUGGAAUUUUUGGAAAGUUUAGUAGUAAGGGCAUUUUGGUCAUUUAGUUAUUAAAAUGAAUUAAAAACAAAAUUAAAAGCCAAUUUUUGUCCAUCUUCUUCAUUAGGCAGAAAUUUCAAGGGUUCUUCAUGGUUAGGGUUUGUUUCAACCUUUCAAUCUCCAUAGUAAGUGAUUCCAAGCCCCGUUUUUAAUGUUCUUUACGUUUUUAGAAUCCCGGUAGCUCGAUUAAGCUUAUGCUAGCAAUAAUUCAACCUAGGGUUCAUAUUUGGAAAAAUACCCAUAGGUGAAAUUUGUGUAUUUUGGUGUUUUAUGAUAGAAUAUGAGGUUUUAAAUUAUGUUAGACAACUUGUACUACUCGAUUUUUAGCGAAAACGAGUAAAAUGGCUUAAUCGGUAAAAAUACCUAAUAGUCAUAAGUACAUGUUAGAGUGUGAAUUUGAUGUUGCUAUAGAAGGGAAAAAUGAUCAGCAUGUCAUAAAACAUAAGAAUAAGGGAUGAAGUUUAAUUCCUGAGCCUAGGGGCAAAAGUGUAAUUAUGCAAAGGUUUAGGGGCAAAAAUGUAAUUUUUCCAUAAUUCGUAUUAAAUGCUGUUUUGAUGAAUGUAUGUAUUAAAUAAGAUUAAUUUGGCAUUAUAGAUCAAGAGAAAUGAGAUUCAAGUCGCGAUCGAGGGAAAAAUAAAGUUUACGAAUAAUAGGAUCGAUUGCUAAUAAUUUUGUACCGAGGUAAGUUCAUGUGUAAAUGUAGUAGCAUAAUUGUCAUUUUAAGAAAUUUAAUGUUGUUUAUAUGAUAUGAUGCUGAAUAUUAUCAUGAAAUAUUAUGCUUUGUGGUUAUUGUUGAAUAAUAUGUAAUUAUGUGAAUUACUUGAUGAGUAUGAACUAUCACCGAAGUGUCGAUUUCGAUAUUCCGUGGAAGACGAAAAAGAUGUGUAAUCGAGGAAAAAGCCCGUUUGAAACUUGGGAAUAGAUUAGAAUACAAGUGACAUGUCAUUAGGAUAUUUGAGUUCCGAACUCGUUGAGUUGAGUCCGAGUUCGUGAGAUGUAACUAGGCAUCCGAGCUCGUUGAGUUGAGUCCGAGUUCACUUAUGGAUGCGAACACCCGAGCUUGUUGAGUUGAGUCCUAGUUCACUUAUGGGCGGGUUACAUGGUAGCUUGGCUACAUAAGUUCCGCAGGCUAUUGAGUUUGUCUAGCUGCGGGUAUGACACUUACGUUCAUGAAAUCCGUGUAUUCGAAUUAUAUUCCGAUGUGUUCAAUGGGUGAAUCUUAAGUGAAUAAGAAGAAGGCCUAAAACGAAGGUGACAUGUUGGUAAGUGUGGUAAAUGAGAAAAUUUGACAGGUAUGUGCUUAAACCCUGGGGUUGAAAACUUGGUAUGAUGAAAUCGUAGAAAGAUAUUAAAUGUAAAUGAGACAUGAAUGUCUUGGUGUUGUUUAUGCAAAUGAUGUUUUAUGUGAGAUUGUGUGAUUAUGUUACUUGCUAUUUGCAUGUGAACUUACUAAUCAUUUAUGCUUACUCCCUUAUUUUUUUUUAUUGUAGUUUUGACAAGCCGGCUUGAGAAUUGGGAUAGGUCGAAGACUCGUUCACACUAUUCGAAGGCCUAAAUUGGUAAAAUGGCUUGUGUGUUUUGAAUGUGGCAUGUAUGGCAAAAUACUCACUUUGUGUAAAUGAUCUUAUGAUAUGGCUAUGGUUUGGCAAGAAAAGGGUUUGUAAAUGAUUAGCCAUUGGAAUGGCCAAUCUAAGUCAUAUUUGAUGUUAUGUAUGUUUAAAAUGCUAUUUAGUCCAUGAAAAUCCUUAGAAAAGUGAAAUUUGCCAUAAAACAGAAUCUGACAGCAGCAGUGAUGUAAAUUUGAAAAAUCACUAAAAAUAGUAGAAAUGGAAUUAAAUGAUGAGUAAGUUAUUAAAUUUAAGCUUAAUGAGUCUAUUUUUAUAUGGAUUGAACAAAAUAGGUAUAUAAAUUAUAUUUUAUGAGAUAUUUGAAUUUUUGUGAAAUAGGGCCAGAGUGAUUUCUGGAUCCCCUAUUCUGACUUUAAAAAUUCAUCAUAAAUUGUAAAAAUAUAAUUAGAAGUCAUAAUUUAUAUGUAAAAAUUCCUUAUUGAGUCUAGUUUUAAUAAAAACAAACUUCAUAGUCAUUGAAAUUCUGUACAGAGAGAUAUCUGAUUCGAAAUAUACAGAUGUCAGAGCAGUUGAACCCUGAAACAGGGGAGACUUUAACUAAUAAACUGUACUAAUUUUCUUGACCAAAAAUUCUAGAAAAAAUUAGUAAAUAGAUAUAUGAGUCUAGUUUCAGGGAAAAUUUACGAAAUUGGGUUUCGAGUUUCGAAACUCGAGAUAUGAAUUUUUAAGCGACUGUAACGUAGAUUGCUAGCUUGACUGGAAAUUUUAAAAAUAAAUUGUUUGAGCUGUUUAAGUAAUGAAUUAAGUCUGUUAACACCUCGUGUUCGACUCCGGCGACGGUCUCGGGUACGGGGCGUUACAAGCAUGGUAUUCGCAUCUAGCGUUUGUGUCGUACCAUUUGGGAUAUGGGGGCUGCAGUGGUUUCAAGUGAAAAGGAGAAAUAGCAUGUGCAUCGUAUAAGCUUUGAUAAAGCUCACGAUACGUCACGGGGAUAGGUGUGAACUGCAUCCUUUCAGAAUUCUACCUUGUACCCGACUUCUAUCUUUGAGAACUCUAUUGCUCAACCGCAGCUAUUUUAGGUUGACCAACUGUGAUUGCCUUCGUGUUGAAGGUGCUUGCGUUAUUCACUUCACUAUCCUUUCUCCUUGGGGCCAAUCUUUUAGUCGCUUCCCCCUCGAUUUUGCCACCCCUUAUGGUAUUCUCGAUCAUCUCUCUCGCCAUGACUAUAUCCGCGAAGCUUUUAGUGGUGCUCCCAAUCAUGUGAGUGAUGAAUGGAGCCUUUAGAGUGUUGAUGAACAACAUGGUAGUCUCCUUCUCCAACAACGGUGGUUGAACUUGCAUUGCCACCUCUCUCCAUCUCUGUGCAUAUUGCCUAAAAUUUUCAUUAGGCUUUUUCUCCAUAUUUUGCAACGUGAUCCUAUCUGGAGUAUGUCAGUCACAUGAUUGUACUGCUGCAUGAAGGCUUGUACAAGAUCCCUCCAUGAAUUUAUUCUGGCCCGGCUCAGUUGAUUAUACCACUUGGCUGCUGCUCCAAUUAAACUGUCUUGGAAACAGUGAAUCAAUAAUUGAUCAUUAUUCACAUACCCAGUCAUCCUCCUACAGAACAUCGUAAUGUGAGCUUCUGGGUAGGUAAUCCCAUUGUACUUCUCAAAUUUUGGCAUCUUGAAUUUGUGAGGAAGGACCAAGUCUAGGACCAAGCUUAGAUCUUUAGCAUCAACUCUAUGAUGCCCAUCAGCACUCUCUAAAGCCGUGAAUUUUUCCUCCAACCAUUUGCAGCGUUCUUCUAACUAUGUUGUAGCCUCAGUUCUUAGAUCCUCUUUUUCAGCCAUGUCUAAGUCAGGAAUGACAGGAUUUGUAAGAUUGUCACCCAAAUUGAAUCUUGAGCCAGUUGGGAAAUUUAUGGGGAUCCCAAUAUCGACAGACCCUUGUUGGGGCCUUAUAGUGACAGAUGGCCUUCUAGGAAGUGUCUCAAUUUGUGUAGGCAUAUGGGGUGGGAUGAAACCUGGAGGAUGGUCCUCACCAUCCUCGCCAGUAAUUGUCAUGGGAGCUUUUCCAUUAUCAGUGGCCCUCAGUAAUUGAGCCAUCUCAGCCGUUAUGUUCCUUUGAGCCUCUAACAUUUGCUCCCUCAUGUCGUUUUGCAUUUUUCCAAUUGCUCUUGCAAUUGGUCCUGCAUGUCCUUCUAUAGCUUUUCAAAUCUUUGGUCCAUGUUCUUAGUUUUUGCACGAGUUCCAUAGUGAUGUGUGAUUUCCAGAUUUUCCUCCCUAACUAUGAGUAAUUUUAACUAAUUAGGGUCUUUCUAUAACCUCGAAUACAUAUGAUGCAAUGAGAUGCUAUGAAAUGUAAAUGCAUGAAUGCAAAAAGAUGUCGAUUCCGAUUCAAUUUCAUUUUAGAAAACGUUAUUUAAGGAACAAAAAUCUUUUCAUAAAAUGGAUAACAAAUACGCUUUUGCCCGUAGGCCUAGAGUCUUAACCCUAUCUAAUAACAAUGCUAACUUUCGUCCUCUGUCUGACGAUGACUCAUACAUUAUACUCAGCGUUCUAGCUUGUACCGCCAAAUCCUGCAAGUGUUCAGCAACCUCUCGAACCUGAACUAAGGCUUCUCCCAUGAGAUAAUCCCUAUUUCCAACUUGAUCCUGGAGAUGGUGAAGUUCUCCCUUCCACUGUUCUUCUCUUGCCUCGAGCUACUCAAUUCGUAGCUCACAGUUCUGUAGUGCUGCUUCCAAACCUCCAAUAUCGUGCUCCAUUUCCUCGAUCUUAUUCAAGCUUGCCUUUAACUCGAUCGCAGAGUUACGACCUCGGUGAUGAUGAAGAGAUCGUCCAAGUUCAGCUACCUUAGUUUUUAAUCCUUGAUUUUCCUUCUCUAGGGCCUGAUUACGCGACUGCAUCUCUUGGAACUUCUUCUCCCAAUACUCGAUUUUGGCUCUUUCUUCCUGAAUCUCUUGCUGCCAUUGCUCUGAAGAUCUCCCUAAUCUGACCCUUUUCAGCGUUAUCUGAGCCUUCUUGUAGUGUGUCCUUAAAUCAUCUCGAUCUUCCUCGAUCUUUCUCUUUUCCUUUUUCACCUUCUCGACUUCCAUCUUUUGAACAUCGACGUCGAGACUCAAGCACAUUUUUUCCUCUUCGAGCUUCUCAAUCCUCUUUUCAAGCUCCGAAUUCUUUCUCUCGAACUCUUGCUUCAUAAUCUCCAACUCUGAUGGAACCACUCGUAAGCUCUCCUCUAAUGAUUGAGCCAACCCCAAAAUUGGCCUAGGGACAUUAUCAUUGACUCUCCUACUAAACCAUCCUUUAUACUCAAGGGUUGACGUCGAGCCUUCGGUCAAGAUCUUCAUACAGAAAGGCUUCUUCCAAGCCCCAGAAAUCUCUCACAUCCUCUUCUUAUAGUGAUCUCCUUUAUAAGAGAAAUCACUCUGAGCUAAACCCUGUGUAACCGGUAUGAUCUGCCUCGCUCGAUAUUGCCUUAGAACAAGCAAUGGUGCAUAUCCAACAAUUCCCCAAAUUCCUGGCAAAUGGACCGAAUCAAAACUGCCACAGCGGUAAAGGACUUCACUAGGAACCAACCAAGGAGCCUUCCACAUAACAUCUUCCUCUCGAAGAUUCUGAAGAAUGUCUAUCCACAUCUCCUCUGAAAUGUCAUCUCUCCUAGGCACGUCUAUUGCUUCCUUUAAGGGAGAAUAACCCUCAAAGAAUACUCGGCAAGGAACCUUAUCAAGCUUCCAAAAAUGACUGUGGAACCAAACCAACAGCAACUGUGCGCAUCCAAUGAAUCUACCCUCACCAGCCCUCCGACAUGCACUCAAAGAUCUAAAUGUCUCAGCUAGGAUUGCUGGUACCGGUGUAUUCUGCUUACCGACACGAUCGAACAAAUUCGCAACUGCCUCAUCUAUGUGCCCCAACGCCUUUGGGAAAAUCACCAUGCCGUAAAUACUCAAAGCUAGGACGUCGACCCUUUUCUUUACGUCUGGAUGUGUCGAUAUCAAAUCCCUCAAAACGGCCCAUGGAACGCACUUACUAUCACCUUUUUGCUGCACACGAGCUACAACCCACUGCUCACUCAUCCCAGUAAUCAUUACUAACUUCUUCGUAAAAGUUGGAAGGCUAACAGGCCUAACAUAAGCCUUGUGACCCUGAAUCCUCGGGCAACGCAGUAAAGUCGUAUACUCCUCCAAAGUAGGUACAAGAUCAACAUCACCAAAUGUAAAGUAACUAUAAGCAGGGUUCCAGAACUGUACCAUAGCUCGAAACAAGUGCCUAUCUACUAUGACGUCUAGCAAAUAAGGAAGAUCUCCAUAAUUCUGAUAGAAAAGUUGCUUAGCCUCGUCAUCCCAUUGGGCCCAAAUGUCUCUCAACUCCGGAAACUCAUUUUGCGUCGAAUUAAUACGGGUGAAGUCCCAUAACUCUGAUGUAUGCCCCUCAGUGACACUAUCUGCUUUAUUUAAAAAAAAUCUUUUUGGAUCGAAUGAAAUAUAAAAAAAAUCUUUAAAGUGAUGGUGCAUUUAAAAUGUUGCAAAGGAUCAAUAUUAACCUACACGAUACCUAUUUUAACAUUCCAUACAAAUAUAGUAAAGAUGAUGAGUAACAGCAUAAAUUACACAAUAUACGCCAUCAUUUUAUGUAUAUGUGAACAUAGAUAAUAUAAAAUAUACAUGCAUUAUCGUUACAUAUUAAAUAUAACAUAGAGCAUAAUGAAUACAACAAUAUAAAUUGCAUAAUAUAUAUGUGAUAAUAUUUUAUGCAAAUGUAACUUAGAUAAUUAAUUUUCAUGCAAAUAUAUAAAAACAAUAACAUAAAGUAAUAAAUAAAUCUAUAAAAUUUAACUUACUAAAACAAUACUAAAAAAAACAAAAAUAGAUAUGCAAAUUCAGGUCAUAUAAAACUAUAAAUCAACUAAAAUUAAAAUAAAGAUAUUUAGAAAUAUUUAGAAAUAUUUAGAAAUAAUAUAAGAAUGAUAAGUAGAAUUUUUUUUAAAAAAAUGAUUAAUAUAAAUCAUGUUAUAGAAUAUAAUAACUUAAUAUAUAUUAAAUAAUGUACUAAAUAGUAUUAUUACACAUAUUUAUUUAAUAAUAAUAAAACAUGUGUAGUUAAUGAGUAAUAAAAUAAUGUAUAUUUUAUAAUAAAAUAAAAGUAAUGUAAGGAAUAAUAUAGCGUAUAAUAUAUAGCGUAUAAUAUAAUUUAUAAAUAAAAUGUAUAAAAAUAAUAUAAUGGAUUAUAAAAAUAAUAUAUAUUACUUUAUAUAACUAAUAUUUAUAAAAAUAAAUAAUAUAUAAAGUAUUUAAUAAAUAAAUUAUGCAAAUAUAUAUAUAUAUAUUUAAAGGGAUUAAAAUUAAAUAAAACUAAAGUUCUAGGGCUAAAAAUAACAAAAAAAAGGUUUAGGCCUAAUUGGAACGCGUUCAAAACUACGAGGGACUCACUGGGCAAUUUGCCCUAAUCCCAAAACGACGUCGUUCUUCAGAAUGAAUUUUAAUGGCCGUUAGGAUUAAAUUGAAACAAUUAUAAAAGAUUAGGGCCGAAUUAAAAUAAAAAUAAAAUGAAAUUACAAAGACCAAAAAUGCGAAAGGACCCAUUGAGAAAUUAGUCCAUUUUUAAAAAACACGCGGAUCCUCCCCGGGUCAUGGGUCAAUAUGCGGAUCCUCAGCAUUAAUACGACGCCGUUUUGAAGCUUAUAAUUUUAAGCAAAACGGCACCGUUUUGUUAAGGCUAUAUAAGCCAAAUUUCAGUUUUGAAAUCAUUUUAAAAUUUGAUUUAAAAAAAAAAAAAAGAAAACCCUCUGAAGGAGGGAUGAGGAAGGGUUCCCGGAGUUCCCUUGAACCUCCGGCCAAAGGUUUGCACGCGCCCAUGCACCACCGUCAACGGCGCUAUAUACGGCGGUCAGAAGCUGGAAAGCUUCCUGUUUCACCACAAAUCAAAACGGUACGUCCCUUUUGUUCUAUUUUUAUGCUUUUAAUAUGUAUUUAGAGAGAAAAAAAAGAAAUAUAGUAAUCACCUAUGUAUUCUCCAGUCGACUGUUGAUUUCUUUUAGUGUAAAAUGCGUUCUUGUUUUUUAUUGAAUCUCCUUAAAAAAAAUUCUCCUUACAUCGUUUUAAUUCGGGCUUUUUAUAGCCACUAUACAUAGUAUUUUACAUAUUUAAUGUUAUUUCCUGCCAUAUUUGUGUUGCCUCUGUCGUUCUUCUUUCCCCUUUUGCAAGUACCAACGAGGAGAUUUAGCAGUGAACGAACGCUGACAACGGUACACCGGCGUUGAUUCGGGCGUCGACCACGGCAUGAUUCGAAGCCUGGAAUCAUGGCCUGGAACCACGGCACUGAUAGUGGGUAACUGGAACGACGCGAGAUGAACAGACGCGUUGAUUGAAAUGUUUGCGGCGCUUAGGGUUUCUGAAACCCUAGGCCUCUCUGUCUUCCAUUCGUAAAUUGGGCCACUUGGGCCCUGUGUAUUUUGGGUAGCAUACAGGCUUGGGUGUAAUUGGGCCCUGGUUAGUUUUAGGUAUCUAGGCUAAGGGUUUUAGGCCUUUUGGGUGCAAAUGUAAACGGGUAAUGGGCUGUAAAUGUAAAUGAGUUUUGGGCUUUGUACAUGGACUGUAUAAACUUUAUUAUUUUUUUAAUUUAUGUUUUUGUUUUUAUUUAUUCAUUUAUGGGCUGGGCAAAUUUAGUUAUUACAAUAUGAUUUACAAUAUAAUAUAUC
rnacentral:lncRNA from 1 species